rnacentral:rRNA from 1 species
AUUGAACGCUGGCGGCAUGCCUUACACAUGCAAGUCGAACGGUAACAGGUCUUCGGAUGCUGACGAGUGGCGAACGGGUGAGUAAUGCAUCGGAACGUGCCCAGUUGUGGGGGAUAACUGCCCGAAAGAGCAGCAAAUACCGCAUACGACCUGAGGGGGAAAGCGGGGGAUCGCAAAACCUCGCGCAAUUGGAGCGGGCGGUGUCAGAUUAGGUAGUUGGUGGGGUAAAGGCCUACCAAGCCGACGAUCUGUAGUUGGUCUGAGAGGACGACCAGCCACACUGGGACUGAGACACGGCCCAGACUCCUACGGGAGGCAGCAGUGGGGAAUUUUGUACAAUGGGCGCAAGCCUGAUCCAGCAAUGCCGCGUGCAGGAAGAAGGCCUUCGGGUUGUAAACUGCUUUUGUCAGGGAAGAAAUCCUCUGGGUUAAUACCCCGGGGGGAUGACGGUACCUGAAGAAUAAGCACCGGCUAACUACGUGCCAGCCGCCGCCGUAACAC